rnacentral:tRNA from 1 species
ACUUAGGUAUUUUAUUAAAAAUGAUGGUUUGUGAAUCCAUUGAUAUGAUAUUAUUUCAUCUUAGGU